CUUUGUUCAAUGAAAAAUGUAACAGAUGUAUCAAAUAAUGGUGAAUAUAUUUUAAUUUUCUUCAGAACAAUUAAGUUAUUAACACAAACAUCCUCAACAAUAUAAAUAAAAACUUUUUUUUUUACCCAACUAUAUUACAAUAUAUAUGCAUGUCUGGAUAGGUUAUUGAAAACUUAAAAUCUUAUAUACCGUGGUGUACAAUUAUAGUUAUU
rnacentral:lncRNA from 1 species